rnacentral:rRNA from 1 species
AGCGAACGUUUGCGGCGGGCUUAACACAUGCAAGUCGAACGGGCUGUUCCUUCGGGGGCAGUCAGUGGCGCACGGGUGCGUAACACGUAGGUAAUCAACCCUCUGGUUGGGGAUAACGCUUCGAAAGGAGUGCUAAUACCCGGUAUGGCGCAGCGGUCUUCGGAUCGCGGCGAGAAAGACCCGCAAGGGUUGCCAGAGGACGAGCCUGCGGCCCAUCAGCUAGUUGGCGAGGUAACGGCUCACCAAGGCGAAGACGGGUAGCUGGUCUGAGAGGAUGAUCAGCCACACUGGAACUGAGACACGGUCCAGACUCCUACGGGAGGCAGCAGUGGGGAAUAUUGCGCAAUGGGCGAAAGCCUGACGCAGCCACGCCGCGUGAGCGAUGAAGGCCU